GGGCGCAUGGGGUAGUCAGGUAUCCUAACGGGCUCCAGUCAGGGUGUGAUUAGCUAUGGGUCAACUGAUCUUAUGAUGAGUGACUGGAACUAUGAACCGGGAAGAGACCCGUAGAUCUGGGUUCAAAUCCCAGUGCGCCCA
rnacentral:tRNA from 1 species